GCCCCGAGAUGAGUUCUCCCUGACUCCUUGAGAGUCCUGAAGGAACGUUGAAGACGACGACGUUGAUAGGCCGGGUGUGUAAGCGCAGCGAUGCGUUGAGCUAACCGGUACUAAUGAACCGUGAGGCUUAACCUUACAACGCCGAAGGUGUUU
rnacentral:rRNA from 1 species